rnacentral:tRNA from 1 species
AGGGGUAUAGCUCCAAUUGGUAGAGCAGCGGAUUCCAAAUCCGCAGGUUGUAGGUUCGAAUCCUACUGCCCCUG